rnacentral:rRNA from 1 species
GCAACCCUUAUCCCCUAGUUGCCAUCAGGUAAAGCUGGGAACUCUGGGAGACUGCCGGUGAUAAACCGGAGGAAGGCGGGGAUGACGUCAAGUCCUCAUGGCCCUUACAUCCCGGGCUACACACGUGCUACAAUGGCAGGUACAGAGGGCUGCGAAGCCGCGAGGUGGAGCGAAAUCCCAGAAAACCUGUCUCAGUCCGGAUUGAAGUCUGCAACUCGACUUCAUGAAGGCGGAAUCGCUAGUAACCGCGAAUCAGCAGGUCGCGGUGAAUACGUUCCCGGGCCUU